rnacentral:antisense_RNA from 1 species
AACUUUCCUUAUGGUCAUCUUUGGGUGGAGCCACCACUUCCAGUUCUGAUCGCCUGCAUCUGGUUGAGUACCCGGGCUUGCCAGUGCACCCCGGGAACACCGCCUAGUCCAGGGCUCCCACAUAUCUCAGACUGACAGCCAGACUGGGUCAUAUGACUGGCACUAGCCAAUGAGCUGUGAGCACACGUGAGCACACGUGAGCACAGGGCCAAGCUGGGUCAUGUGACUGGCACUAGCCAAUGAGCUGUGAGCACACGUGAGCACACGUGAGCACAGGGCCAAGCUGGGUCAUGUGACUGGCACUAGCCAAUGAGCUGUGAGGACAUGUGAGCACAGGUCCCGCUAGGCUGGGUCAUAUGACAAGCAUUAGCCAAUGAGCUGUGAGGACACGUGAGUACAGGUCCAGCUAGGCUGGGACAUGUGACUGGCACUGGCCAAUGGGCUGUGAGCACAGGUCAGGUCAGCCCCUUCCUGCUGCUUCCCCCUGUGUGUGCUCCUUGUCUGACUUGAUAUGAGAACUAACCCAAUAUGGCAGGAAGCCACCGACAUGUGGGAGCCGUGCACGGCAGCAGCCAGUGUCCUUGUCCUGCGGGGACGCUGCGUACAUCACUCGCCUUUAGAACACUGAGCCCUCCUACCUCCUGAUAUCCAGGGCUGCCGAUGGAAAAUCCCAGGCUGCCGUGGCUCCUGUGUGCUUUGAAGUUUUCAGGAUUUUUGUCAAACAUCCAGGGACCCUUAGCUGGAGAGGAUGGCAUGGGUGACACACAGCUGGCCAGGGUGCGCGACUCUGCUCUCGAGACCCCCUGGAGGCCCGCCCCCCGCCCCCCGCCAGCUCAUCCGUUAGAUGCUUGGAAGUGACUGCCUACUCCUUCUUUCAGGAUAAAGCCUCAAGUCCUGCAAUUGUU